CGCCUACGGGGGGCUGCAGUGGGGAAUAUUGGACAAUGGGCGAAAGCCUGAUCCAGCCAUGCCGCGUGUGUGAAGAAGGUCUUCGGAUUGUAAAGCACUUUAAGUUGGGAGGAAGGGCAGUAAGUUAAUACCUUGCUGUUUUGACGUUACCGACAGAAUAAGCACCGGCUAACUUCGUGCCAGCAGCCGCGGUAAUACGAAGGGUGCAAGCGUUAAUCGGAAUUACUGGGCGUAAAGCGCGCGUAGGUGGUUCGUUAAGUUGGAUGUGAAAGCCCCGGGCUCAACCUGGGAACUGCAUCCAAAACUGGCGAGCUAGAGUAUGGCAGAGGGUGGUGGAAUUUCCUGUGUAGCGGUGAAAUGCGUAGAUAUAGGAAGGAACACCAGUGGCGAAGGCGACCACCUGGGCUAAUACUGACACUGAGGUGCGAAAGCGUGGGGAGCAAACAGGAUUAGAUACCCGAGUAGUC
rnacentral:rRNA from 1 species